AGUGAACGCUGGCGGUAGGCCUAACACAUGCAAGUCGAACGGCAGCACAGUAAGAGCUUGCUCUUACGGGUGGCGAGUGGCGGACGGGUGAGGAAUACAGCGGAAUCUACUUUUUCGUGGGGGAUAACGUAGGGAAACUUACGCUAAUACCGCAUACGACCUACGGGUGAAAGCAGGGGAUCUUCGGACCUUGCGCGAUUGAAUGAGCCGAUGUCGGAUUAGCUAGUUGGCGGGGUAAAGGCCCACCAAGGCGACGAUCCGUAGCUGGUCUGAGAGGAUGACCAGCCACACUGGAACUGAGCCACGGUCCAGACUCCUACGGGAGGCAGCAGUGGGGAAUAUUGGACAAUGGGCGCAAGCCUGAUCCAGCCCUACCGCGUGGGUGAAGAAGGCCUUCGGGUUGUAAAGCCCUUUUGUUGGGAAAGAAAAGCAGCAGGUUAAUACCCCGCUGUUCUGACGGUACCCAAAGAAUAAGCACCGGCUAACUUCGUG
rnacentral:rRNA from 1 species